rnacentral:rRNA from 1 species
CGCUCAGAGAUAGGCAUGCGUUCCAUUAGCUAGUUGGUGAGGUAACGGCUCACCAAGGCAACGAUGGAUAGGGGCGCUGAGAGGCGUAUCCCCCACACUGGGACUGAGACACGGCCCAGACUCCUACGGGAGGCAGCAGUGAGGAAUAAUGGUCAAUGGAGGCAACUCUGAACCUGCCAAGUCGCGUGAAGGAUGACGACCCUAUGGGUUGUAAACUUCUUUAGUAGGUGAGUAGAGAUAGGUACGAGUACCUACAGGCAAGUAGCCUAAGAAUAAGUAUCGGCUAACUCCGUGCCAGCAGCCGCGGUAAUACGGAGGAUACGAGCGUUAUCCGGAUUUAUUGGGUUUAAAGGGUGCGUAGGUGGCAGAUUAAGUCAGUGGUGAAAAGCUGUGGCUCAACCAUAGUCUUGCCGUUGAAACUGGKKWGCUUGAGUACAKUUGAUGUAGGCGGAAUGCGUAGUGUAGCGGUGAAAUGCAUAGAUAUUACGCAGAACUCCGAUUGCGAAGGCAGCUUACAAAAUUGCAACUGACACUGAUGCACGAAAGCGUGGGUAUCAAACAGGAUUAGAUACCCUGGUAGUCCACGCCGUAAACUAUGAUUACUCAGAGUAUGCGAUAUAAUGUAUGCUCUCAAGCGAAAGCAUUAAGUAAUCCACCCUGGGGAGUACGUCGGCAACGAUGAAACUCAAAGGAAUUGACGGGGGCCCGCACAAGCGGAGGAACAUGUGGUUUAAUUCGAUGAUACGCGAGGAACCUUACCUGGGAUUGAAAUGUAUAUGACAUUUUCAUGGAAACAUUCUAUUUCCAUCUUCGGAGACAUAUAUGUAGGUGCUGCAUGGUUGUCGUCAGCUCGUGCCGUGAGGUGUCGGCUUAAGUGCCAUAACGAGCGCAACCCUUAUCGUUAGUUACUAACAGGUCAUGCUGAGGACUCUAGCGAGACUGCCGUCGUAAGGCGAGAGGAAGGUGGGGAUGACGUCAAAUCAGCACGGCCCUUAUAUCCGGGGCGACACACGUGUUACAAUGGUGAGGACAAAGGGUAGCUACCCGGUGACGGGAUGCCAAUCUCCAAACCUCAUCUCAGUUCGGAUUGGAGUCUGCAACUCGACUCUAUGAAGCUGGAUUCGCUAGUAAUCGCGCAUCAGCCAUGGCGCGGUGAAUACGUUCCCGGGCCUUGUACACACCGCCCGUC